rnacentral:rRNA from 1 species
UACAGAGGUCUCAAGCGUUGUUCGGAUUCAUUGGGCGUAAAGGGUGCGUAGGCGGCGCGGUAAGUCGGGUGUGAAAUUUCGAGGCUUAACUUCGAAACUGCAUUCGAUACUGCCGUGCUUGAGGACUGGAGAGGAGACUGGAAUUUACGGUGUAGCGGUGAAAUGCGUAGAUAUCGUAAGGAAGACCAGUGGCGAAGGCGGGUCUCUGGACAGAAACUGACGCUGAGGCGCGAAAGCUAGGGGAGCAAACAGG